rnacentral:rRNA from 1 species
GACGAACGCUGGCGGCGUGCUUAACACAUGCAAGUCGAACGGAAAGGCCCUGCUUUUGUGGGGUGCUCGAGUGGCGAACGGGUGAGUAACACGUGAGUAACCUGCCCUUGACUUUGGGAUAACUUCAGGAAACUGGGGCUAAUACCGGAUAGGAGCUCCUGCUGCAUGGUGGGGGUUGGAAAGUUUCGGCGGUUGGGGAUGGACUCGCGGCUUAUCAGCUUGUUGGUGGGGUAGUGGCUUACUAAGGCUUUGACGGGUAGCCGGCCUGAGAGGGUGACCGGCCACAUUGGGACUGAGAUACGGCCCAGACUCCUACGGGAGGCAGCAGUGGGGAAUAUUGCACAAUGGGCGGAAGCCUGAUGCAGCAACGCCGCGUGCGGGAUGACGGCCUUCGGGUUGUAAACCGCUUUCGCCUGUGACGAAGCGUGAGUGACGGUAAUGGGUAAAGAAGCACCGGCUAACUACGUGCCAGCAGCCGCGGUGAUACGUAGGGUGCGAGCGUUGUCCGGAUUUAUUGGGCGUAAAGGGCUCGUAGGUGGUUGAUCGCGUCGGAAGUGUAAUCUUGGGGCUUAACCCUGAGCGUGCUUUCGAUACGGGUUGACUUGAGGAAGGUAGGGGAGAAUGGAAUUCCUGGUGGAGCGGUGGAAUGCGCAGAUAUCAGGGGGAACACCAGUGGCGAAGGCGGUUCUCUGGGCCUUUCCUGACGCUGAGGAGCGAAAGCGUGGGGAGCGAACAGGCUUAGAUACCCUGGUAGUCCACGCUGUAAACGGUGGGUACUAGGUGUGGGGUCCAUUCCACGGGUUCCGUGCCGUAGCUAACGCUUUAAGUACCCCGCCUGGGGAGUACGGCCGCAAGGCUAAAACUCAAAGGAAUUGACGGGGCCCCGCACAAGCGGCGGAGCAUGCGGAUUAAUUCGAUGCAACGCGUAGAACCUUACCUGGGUUUGACAUGGAUCGGGAGUGCUCAGAGAUGGGUGUGCCUCUUUUGGGGUCGGUUCACAGGUGGUGCAUGGCUGUCGUCAGCUCGUGUCGUGAGAUGUUGGGUUAAGUCCCGCAACGAGCGCAACCCUUGUUCACUGUUGCCAGCACGUUAUGGUGGGGACUCAGUGGAGACCGCCGGGGUCAACUCGGAGGAAGGUGGGGAUGACGUCAAGUCAUCAUGCCCCUUAUGUCCAGGGCUUCACGCAUGCUACAAUGGCUGGUACAGAGAGUGGCGAGCCUGUGAGGGUGAGCGAAUCUCGGAAAGCCGGUCUCAGUUCGGAUUGGGGUCUGCAACUCGACCUCAUGAAGUCGGAGUCGCUAGUAAUCGCAGAUCGGCAACGCUGCGGUGAAUACGUUCCCGGGGCU